rnacentral:rRNA from 1 species
CUUAUACAUGCAAGUCGAGCGGACAGAAGGGAGCUUGCUCCCGGAUGUUAGCGGCGGACGGGUGAGUAACACGUGGGUAACCUGCCUGUAAGACUGGGAUAACUCCGGGAAACCGGAGCUAAUACCGGAUAGUUCCUUGAACCGCAUGGUUCAAGGAUGAAAGACGGUUUCGGCUGUCACUUACAGAUGGACCCGCGGCGCAUUAGCUAGUUGGUGGGGUAAUGGCUCACCAAGGCGACGAUGCGUAGCCGACCUGAGAGGGUGAUCGGCCACACUGGGACUGAGACACGGCCCAGACUCCUACGGGAGGCAGCAGUAGGGAAUCUUCCGCAAUGGACGAAAGUCUGACGGAGCAACGCCGCGUGAGUGAUGAAGGUUUUCGGAUCGUAAAGCUCUGUUGUUAGGGAAGAACAAGUGCGAGAGUAACUGCUCGCACCUUGACGGUACCUAACCAGAAAGCCACGGCUAACUACGUGCCAGCAGCCGCGGUAAUACGUAGGUGGCAAGCGUUGUCCGGAAUUAUUGGGCGUAAAGGGCUCGCAGGCGGUUUCUUAAGUCUGAUGUGAAAGCCCCCGGCUCAACCGGGGAGGGUCAUUGGAAACUGGGAAACUUGAG